rnacentral:rRNA from 1 species
GAUGAACGCUGGCGGCGUGCCUAAUACAUGCAAGUCGAGCGAACAGACGAGGAGCUUGCUCCUCUGACGUUAGCGGCGGACGGGUGAGUAACACGUGGAUAACCUACCUAUAAGACUGGGAUAACUUCGGGAAACCGGAGCUAAUACCGGAUAAUAUAUUGAACCGCAUGGUUCAAUAGUGAAAGACGGUUUUGCUGUCACUUAUAGAUGGAUCCGCGCCGCAUUAGCUAGUUGGUAAGGUAACGGCUUACCAAGGCAACGAUGCGUAGCCGACCUGAGAGGGGGGUGGGGCACACUGGAACUGAGACACGGUCCAGACUCCUACGGGAGGCAGCAGUAGGGAAUCUUCCGCAAUGGGCGAAAGCCUGACGGAGCAACGCCGCGUGAGUGAUGAAGGUCUUCGGAUCGUAAAACUCUGUUAUUAGGGAAGAACAAAUGUGUAAGUAACUAUGCACGUCUUGACGGUACCUAAUCAGAAAGCCACGGCUAACUACGUG